ACUGUACUGACGAGUCCCAAAUAGGACGAAAUGACAAUGUACAAU
ensembl:misc_RNA Hammerhead_1 Hammerhead ribozyme (type I)